AACGAACGCUGGCGGCAGGCUUAACACAUGCAAGUCGAGCGCCCCGCAAGGGGAGCGGCAGACGGGUGAGUAACGCGUGGGAAUCUACCCAUCUCUACGGAAUAACGCAUGGAAACGUGUGCUAAUACCGUAUACGUCCUUCGGGAGAAAGAUUUAUAGGAGAUGGAUGAGCCCGCGUUGGAUUAGCUAGUUGGUGGGGUAAAGGCCUACCAAGGCGACGAUACAUAGCUGGUCUGAGAGGAUGAUCAGCCACACUGGGACUGAGACACGGCCCAGACUCCUACGGGAGGCAGCAGUGGGGAAUAUUGGACAAUGGGCGCAAGCCUGAUCCAGCCAUGCCGCGUGAGUGAUGAAGGCCCUAGGGUUGUAAAGCUCUUUCACCGGUGAAGAUAAUGACGGUAACCGGAGAAGAAGCCCCGGCUAACUUCGUGCCAGCCGCCGCCGUAAUAC
rnacentral:rRNA from 1 species